AGUGCUCAUUUACUUUAUAUGCGUCAUAGUGGACUGACAUGGUGAGCUGAAAAGUUUCCGUCUUUUUUGAGAAAUUGCAGAGAGCUAGAUUACCUCAUCUAAGAAAUGACGAAGCUUUCGAGUAAGGAAUCGGUAGAUUUAUGUACCUGAGAUUCAUUAAAAAAAAAUGUGAUCUGAGUGAUAACACUAAAUAGUGCACGUACGAUAAACGAGUAUUCCGGUCAGCUUUGAGCUAUUGAGUAAGGAGUGACGGACCUUUGGAGACCAAAGUAUAGUAGGAGAGUACUAUAUAGAGUGCGUUCUAUUAUUGUCACAAAAAAAAGAAAAAAUGUUUCAAGAGAAAUAAUAUAUGAACAAAUGUUCAUCUUUGGAAAAUCAGGUUACAUAUUAUUAGAAAAACUAAAAAUGGAUAGAAAAAGUUAUUGCAAGUGCUCAUUUACUUUAUAUGUGUCAUAGAGGACAUACAUGGUGAGCUGAAAGGUUUCCGUCUUUCUUGAAAAAUUACAGAUAACUAGAUUCAGUUUUAUCUCAUCUAAGAAAUGACGAAUCUGUCGAGUAUGGAAUCAGUCGAAUUAUAUACCUGGGAUUCAUUAAAAAAAUUGACAAAAAAGAAUGUGAUAUGAGUAAUAAAACUAAUUAGUGCACGUACGAUAAACGAGGAUUCCGGUCAGCUUUGAGCUAUCAAGUAAGGAGUGAAGGGCCUUUGAUGAUCCGAGUAAAGUAGGGGAGUCCUAUAUAGAGUGUAAAGAAAAAGUUAUUGCUAGUGCUCUUUUGCUUUAUAUGCGUCAGAUUGGACUGACAUGGUGAGCUGAAAAGUUUCCAUCUUUCUUGAGAAAUUACAUAGAGCUAGACUUGGUUUUACCUCAUCUAAGAAAUGACGAAGCUGUCGAGUAAGGAAUCGGUCAAGUUAUGUACCUGGGAUUCUUUUAAAAAAAUUGACAAAAAAGAAUGUGUUAUGAGUGAUAAAACUAAAUAGUACACAUACGAUAAACAAGAAUUCCGUUCAACUUUGAACUAUCGAGUAAGGAGUGAAUGAUCUUUGGAGACCAGAAUAAAGUAGGGGAGUACUAUAUAGAGUGCGUUCUGUUAUUACAACAAAAAAGAAAAAAAUUUCAUGAGAAAUAAUAUAUAAAUAAAAUGUUCACUCUUGAAUAAUAAGGUUGCAUAUUAUUAGAAAAAAAUAAAGUGGAUAGAAACAGUUAUUGCUAGUGCUCAUUUACUUUAUAUGUGUCAUAGUGGAUAGACAUGGUAAGCUGAAAAGUUUCCGUCUCUCUUGAGAAACUAGGAUUUGACCCACGGUACACCGCGGGGUAAUUAUUUAUUUAAAAAAUUUAUUUUUGGUUUUUUAUCAAUGUAAUUUAUGUUUAGUAUUGUUGUUUUUUUUUUCUUGUUACAAAAUAAUUAUGGUCAGUUGUGUGUAGAAUUAAAUAUCCCGUAAUUAAGCUAAGGAUAGUAUUGAUGAGUUGUCGGAUGUAUAUCAUUUGUAAGUUUACAAUGUGUUUAUUUUUGUAAGCAUUUAAUUUGUGCGAUGGUAAAAAGAAUCUUUACAAUUUUAAAACUCUAAUUAUGCAUUAUACUAAUGAAACUGUAAUAAUCAAAAGGUUGAUACGUAUUAUCAUGACCAAAGUAUUUUAUAAGUACAAUGUAUUUUUGUAACGAUACACAUAAUUCUGGAUAGUUAAUCAAAAACAAAGGCCACAACAUUUUAUUCAUGUGCUAUAAACAGACUGUUACUGGAGCCCAAUUCUAAAACCUAAGCCUAUACAACAUUAGCAGCCCAACUACAGUAUAACAGUUUUUGCUGGGAAUGGAGAAAAAAAACGGACGAUUCAAUCAAUCCGAUGUUGGUUCUCUUUCACGAACUUAUCUCACUGGAAUCCGUCACUUUCCGACCUCCGGUGACGUCUACACUUGUCGAUAGAUGAUGAUUAGCCGUCUGAAAUCGCAAAUCCAUGAUGAUAGCUUCUGAGAUUGAACGGAACUAAAUCUGCUGUACUGGAAAGAAACAAUGUGCAAGACCAGCAAACAAAAUAAGAUAAGGGACUUUAACUCAUCGACAGGAGGACCUCCGGUCAAAUAAUACAUUCAACUGUAAUAGGCUUGAUAACGGAGCUGAAUUCAAGAAAUGGAGGUGCUAAAGGAGAUGAUGUGUGGAACUGAAAGGUUAAUUCUUGUAGAUUGGAAUAUUAUCAAAACUAAUUCAGUAGGGAAAAAUAUCUGAAUGCUGAUACUUAUUGUAUGAUGAAAUUAUAAAAAUGUUUACAUA